CCUACGGGUGGCAGCAGUGGGGGAUAUUGCACAAUGGGGGGAACCCUGAUGCAGCGACGCCGCGUGGGUGAAGGAGCGUUUCGGCGCGUAAAGCCCUAUCGGCAGGGAAGAAGGAGGACGGUACCUGACUAAGAAGCCCCGGCUAACUACGUGCCAGCAGCCGCGGUAAUACGUAGGGGGCAAGCGUUAUCCGGAUUUACUGGGUGUAAAGGGGGCGCAGACGGCAGCGCAAGCCAGGAGUGAAAGCCCGGGGCCCAACCCCGGGACUGCUCUUGGAACUGCGCGGCUGGAGUGCAGGAGGGGCAGGCGGAAUUCCUGGUGUAGCGGUGAAAUGCGUAGAUAUCAGGAGGAACACCGGUGGCGAAGGCGGCCUGCUGGACUGCGACUGACGUUGAGGCCCGAAAGCGUGGGGAGCAAACAGGAUUAGAUACCCUUGUAGUC
rnacentral:rRNA from 1 species